UACGGAGGGUGCAAGCGUUAAUCGGAAUUACUGGGCGUAAAGCGUGCGUAGGCGGUUCGUUAAGUCUGCUGUGAAAGCCCCGGGCUCAACCUGGGAAUGGCAGUGGAUACUGGCGAGCUAGAGUGUGUCAGAGGAUGGUGGAAUUCCCGGUGUAGCGGUGAAAUUCGUAGAUAUUGGGAAGAACACCAGUGGCGAAGGCGGCUCACUGGCUCGUAACUGACGCUUAGGCGCGACAGCGUGGGGAUCAAACAGG
rnacentral:rRNA from 1 species